UGCUCAAAGAUCUGAUAGGGGCAAAGCAAAGCAAAGCGGAGCCGGAAAAAGAAGAAACCAGAGAAGAGGGGAAAGGGAAAUGGAGCUACUGGAAAUUACAGGAAUGGGGUCUUUGGGAUGAACCAUUCGAAAGCUUUUCAUCGUUUUAGUCAUAAAUUGAAAUUCUUCCCGAGGCCACCCAUUCCAGUGAUUUCCAGAGGCUUAUCCCUUUCCCUUACAUCUUCCUUGAUUUGUUUAUAUAUGGAAAUGGAAGAAAGCUAGCUGCUUCUGCUUGUAUUGUGAGGGAUCUCAGAUUGUAUGGGAAAUUUGAGCAGGAAAACUGCAGAAUCUAGUCAAUCUUGGAUUUUGGAGGAGAAUGUUCAAUUAAUGUUGUUCACUCAUUUCACUUA